UAGGCAGAUUGCCUACCACGGCUGACGACCUCCACCUGCCCGGGUUUGGUGUUCGGAGUUUGCUCUCCUAGGUGAAUUGCCUACCACGGCUGACGACCUCCACCUGCCCGGGUUUAUUGUUCGGAGUUUGCUCUCCUAGGUGAAUUGCCUACCACGGCUGACGACCUCCACCUGCCCGGGUUUAUUGUUCGGAGUUUGCUCUCCUAGGUGAAUUGCCUACCACGGCUGACGACCUCCACCUGCCCGGGUUUGUUGUUCGGAGUUUGCUCUCCUAGGUGUAUUGCCUACCACGGCUAACGACCUCCACCUGCCCGGGUUUGUUGUUCGGAGUUUGCUCUCCUAGGUGAAUUGCCUACCACGGCUGACGACCUCCACCUGUCCGGGUUUGUUGUUCGGAGUUUGCUCUCCUAGGUGAAUUGCCUACCACGGCUAACGACCUCCACCUGCCCGGGUUUAUUGUUCGGAGUUUGCUCUCCUAGGUGUAUUGCCUACCACGGCUAACGAGCCCCACCUGCCCGGGUCUGUAGCCGGCAGAUCUCCGGCACCUCCGUCGGGGCCCCGGGGGACGCUGAGGCGCCCUACCGGGAGCCCUUCAGUACUACCAUGCUCGCCAGGGAGACCUUGGGCUCGCUGGCGCCCCCCAGCCUCGCCGAGGCGAGGAGGGCGGGUGCAAGAACUCGCUUCUUAAAACUACCAGACUGGAUUAUAAUAUUAAUCAUAAAUACCGUGAAGGCGCUGGUUUCCGCGUUCAUCGGUUCUGGGAUGGAAAACCGAUGGGCUGGGAAACGCGCACAAACAUCGAAAGGAAUCCUCGCGACGGCUUGCGGCGCAGCACCAGCUUUCCUUUUUCUUUUUUAGCUCCAAUUUUCUUUAUUAUUGUAUUUUCCUUCUCUGAUUGACUGAUUAAUUAAUUUUACGUAAUAAGAAUUAGUUAAUCAAUUAACAUCUUUCAGGUACACUGCAUUCACACACCUGCUGAGAGAAAACACCAGUGAGUGCUGAAUCUCACAAGGACGGCCCACCAAAGUUUCCUAACAUUUGCAUUGGGGUCCCACUAUUCUUUAGUCGUCCGAGGAGGAGGAAGUGGUAAUAUAUAAACGAGAACAAUGGAAUAAAGGAGGUACUAAAACUAAUAUGGAGAUUAACGUAACUGAAAUAAGAGGAAGGAGGCAGCCACCUUACGGCCUACACACAAAUGAUAAGAAUGCAGUGUUUGGCCGCGAC